AAUUCUCUCUUGGGCCUUUAAGGCCCAACUCCUUGAGAGAGCAGAGAGAACAAGGUGAAGAUGGAAAGAUUUGCUUCACGCAGUAUCUCUCCUUCAUAAUUUUGCCCUGGGUCUUUAAGGCCAAACUGCCUGAGUAUGAGUUUGCCAUGAAAAGGAGAAACCUGCUUCAUGCAAUAUCUCCUCCUUAAUUCUCCCUUGGGUCUUUAAGGCCUGCCUAACUGUUGGACAGAGCAGAGCACAUACUGGAGGCUAAACAGCAGAGAUUUGCUUUAUGCACUAUCUUCUUCUUAUUUCUCUCUUAGGUCUUAAAGGCCUAACUCCUUGAGAGCAGGGAGGAUGUUUGAGGAGAAAAAGGAUAGAUUUGCUUCAUGCAAUAUCUCCUUCUGGAAUCAUCUCCUGUUGCUUUAAGGCCAUAUUUCCUGAGAAUACAAUGAAUGUUUGGAAAUGAAAAGGAGAAGCUUGCUUCAUGCAAUUUCUCCUCGUUAAUUCACUCUUAGGUCUUUAAGGCCUAACUCCUUGAGUAAGCAGAGAAUGUUUGAGGUGAAGAAGGAAAGAUUUGCUUCACGCAAUAUCUCUCCUUCAUAAUUCUCUCCUGAGUCUCUAAGGCCAAACACCCUGAGAAAGCAGAGUGAAUGUUUGAAAAUGAAAAGGAGAAACCUGCUUUAUUUAAUAUCUUCCCCUUGAUUCUGUCUUGGGUCUUUAAGGCCUAACUCUUAGACUAAGCAGGGAGUAUGUUUGAAAUGAAAAGGAGAGAUCUGCUUCAUGCAAUAUCUCCUUCUUAAUUCUCUCGGCCCUUGAGGCCUAACUCGGAGAGAACAGAGAGAACGAGGUGAAGGAGGAAAGAUUUGCUUCAUGCGGUAUCUCCCCUUCAGAAUUCUCUCCUGGGUCUUUAAGGCCAAACUCCCUGGGAGAGGAGAGUGAAUGCUUGAAAAUGAAAAGGAGAAACCUGCCUUAUGCAAUAUUUCUCUCUAAAUUCUCUCUUGGAUCUUUAAGGCCUAACUCUUUGAGCGGGGAGUGUGUUUGAAUAUAAAAAAGAGAGAUUUGCUUCAUGCAGUAUCUCCUUCUUAAUCUUCCCUUGGGUCUUUAAGACCUAACUCCUUGAGGGAGCAAAGAGAAUAUUUGAAGAUAAAAAGGAGAGAUUUGCUUCCUGCAGUAUCUCCUUAAUUCUCUCUUGGGCCUUUAAGGCCCAACUCCUUUAGAGAGCAGAGAGAACAAGGGGAAGAAGGAAAGUUUUGCUUCACGCAAUAUCUCUCCUUCAUAAUUUUGUCCUGGGUCUUUAAGGCCAAACUCCCCGAGUGUGUGUUUGCAAUGAAAAGGAGAAACCUGCUUCAUGCAAUAUCUUCCCCUUAAUUCUCUCUUGGGUCUUUAAGGCCUAGCUCCUGGAGGGAGCAGUGCAUAUAUUUGAGGCUAAAAAGCAGAGAUUUGCCUUAUGCGAUAUCUUCUUCCCAUUUCUCUCUGAGGUCCUACAGACCUGACUCCUUGAGAGCAGAGAGAAUAUUUGAGGUGAAAAAGGAGAGAUUUGCUUCAUGCAAUAUCUCCUUCUGGAAUUGUCUCCUGGUGCUUUAAGGCCCAAUUCCCUGAGAACAAAAUGAAUGUUUGACAAUGAAAAGGAGAAGUAUGCUUCAUGCAAUUUCUCCUCCUAAAGUUUCUCCUGGGUCUUUAAGGCCUAACUCCUUGAGUAAGCAGAGAGAAUGUUUGAGGUGAAGAAGGAAAGAUUUGCUUCAUGCAAUAUCUCUCCAUUGUAAUUCUCUCCUGGGUCUUUAAAGCCAAAUGCCCAGAUAGAUCAGGGAAAAUGAAUGAAGAGGUAAAGGAGAAAUUUGAUUCCUGUCUUAAGAUCUUCAUAAUUGUCUCCUAGGUCUUUAAGUCCUAAUCCCUUGAGAGAACAUAAAGAAGGUUUGAGAUGGAAAAAGGGACUUUGGCUUCAUGCAAUGUCUCUCACUAAAUUCUCCUCUGGGUCUUCAAGGCCUAACUCCAUGUGUGCUCAGAGAUAAUAUUUGAGAGGGAAAAGGAGAAGUUUGCUUGAAGCAAUAUGCCCUUCCUUACUGUCUCCUGGGUCUUUAAGGCCUAAUUCCUUGAGUAAGCAGAGAAUGGUUGAGGUGAAGAAGGAAAGAGCAAAGAGAAUACUUGAGGAGGAAAAGGAGAGAUUUGCUUCAUGCACUAUGUCUCCUUCGUAAUUCUCUCCUGGGUCUACAAGCAAGGUCUCCUGGCUGCUUGAGCCAAUUUGAGAUACAACACACAAAAGUCUCCAGGCUAAUUCUCCUAAAAAUCUCUCCAAGAGUUUUCACUAUUGUCCUCUCACACUACCUGCGGGGGACAAAUGGCAUCCCUGGGCCUCUGCGACAGCGACACAGGUAUGAGAGGAGGCACCCUCACCUUCCGAGGUCGGGUUACAGGAAAUGUUUGGCAUUUUAGUGCCUUGCAGGGAAGGCCUGGGCCAUGACUCGGAUCUAGCUACUCUGGUCAGAGCAAUAAACAUUAACUAAGUUUUGGUGCUGGACAGAAAGUUAGAAAUAAUGUGUUCUGAUUGUAAAUCAUGAUUGUUCAAACUGGCUCCUUACGUAUACACACGACGGAGAAUUGGACAAUCUGCCCUAUCCCUCUGCAGUGCCAGCUAUGAGGUAGGAAAGCUCUCUGGAUUGAAUGUUCAUCAGCUGGCGAAGGCGAUGCAGGGAAAUCAGGCAACUGCCCGCGGCCCCUGUCACUAGCUCCGGUCUUUCUGGCCCAAACUGUGGGAGAGGGAAAAGAGGGCUUUGCUUCAUGUAAAAGCCUAGUGUAAUCCCCUACAGCCUCCUCGGAUGGUCUCCACCCUGGGUCUUCAAGGCUGGAUGGAGAAAGCAGGGUCACCCCUGCCCACCUAUCUUCGUGGCUGGGAGGGAGGGAGAAGAAAAACUGUGUAGAGAUUUACGGGACUGCAAAAUUCUGUAGCAGCGUAGCACUGUCAGCUCACUAUUUAAAUGGCUCAUGCCCAACCCAGAGGUAAAUCUUUUCCCUUCUUUCCUAAUCAUCUUUAACCAGAACAAACUGAAUUUUUCAUCCCGCAAUCAAUGUUCAAUGGAAGAAUGCUUUCAUCCGAUUCAGUUGCAAUCAAGCUCAACAUGUACAUUCAUUAAGCCCAUAUUCUUUCAAAAGCCAAUAAAAGAGUUAAAAUAAAUAAAUAAAAUAAAAUAAAUUAAAUAAAUGAAGAAACCCUAGAAACCCCAAAACACAAUAAAAUAGUUUAAAAUGAAAAUAAAUCGUUAAAAGUUGACAUAUAAAGAAAGGCAUUGUUGACAUAUAAUCAUCACAUAUAAUCCUCCGUUCCAUUGAAUAUAGAUAUGUGGAAACUUGUUUGAUAGAAAUCGUUGUCUCUAGAUUCUUCAUUAGGAAGAAAAAAGAAGGGAAACUUUAUCUCUGCUUUUUUGGGCCAUUAUUAGCCUAAUUGGUUUGAGUGAGCCAAAUGAUUAUGACCCAAUAGUCCUAUCAUUUAUUCCACUGGAAAAGCGGGCAGCCUGAAUAUCAUCACUACCGGAGCUCUGCGUGUGCUUUAUUUGAAAACGCUUGUUCUUUGUUGUGAUAACCUUGACCUCUUCUUCUUUAACACUGGACAUGUAGUAUUGUGCCCUAAUGGCUGUGAAUGUCUAGAGAUUUAGUCCACCGGACAGGUAGAGUUUGUCACCCUGGGCUCCAUCUUCCCCACCCGGGGCAACGAGCACCAGACCCCGACGCGGAGCAGCUGUCUGCCCAAGGGCUGCAGAGUAGGCUGCUGGCGGCUGGUGAACAGAGGUACGAGGGAGUGGGAGAUAAAGUGAUCGUGAGUGCUGCGCUCUGGCGUUAUCCUUGGGAUGGACCUGGGGACAGGGGAGAGUCAGCCAGGUACGGUCACACCUGCUGAGGCUUUUCCAGUUCAGCAUGGCGGAGGGUGCGGGAGGGGAAGACAUUUGUUGCCUCCGGCAGGAAGGCAGGAAGAAUGAGAUGAAGUUACAGGUGGAAGAAGAGAGCGUCCCCGGCUAGUGAAGGACGAGGCGUGUGACCGUGUCUGCGUUGCCGGCCUGGCAGCUGUCCCUGCAGCCCCAAAUUGCAGGGGGGAAGCGGGGGCAGCCCGGUGAGGGGGAGCAGGGAAACUGGGUGUGAGGAGGUGGACACUGCCACUAGGUGCCCCCUGCUUCUCAAUGGGCGCACCCUUGCAGGGGGGACAGUGGCAGUGCGGGGAGGGAGGAGAAGGGGUAUUCCUGGUUUCCUCCUGGGUCUCCCUUCCUUUGCUGUUUUCCCUUCCCCUCUUUGCCUCCUGUUUUUUGCCAUCCUAGAUCACGGCCCCCCUACCGACCUGCUGUGGAUUUCAUCGCCAGCCUGCCGAUCCGACGGCCAUCCCAGAACUCGCCUGAUUCGUCGUUCUUCGGCACCCCAGCCGAGACAACUGCAGCUCCUCCCCCAGGAUGUUCUCUGGGGUCUGCAGCUGUCUCUCAACUUCGCCAGUGCCUCUGCCCCACUGCACACCCAGAACACUCACAUGCCCACCCACCCACCCAAACACACACAGUCUCUAGCCUAUGGACCUUCCCUUAUUUGUGGAUGGGGUCUCUGAGAGCACUGUGGGUAAGUUGAGAAGCCUGGGUCAGUCUGAAGUAGCUGCAACAUGGAAUUGAGGGAGAGGAAUGAAUCUGGGACUGUUCUGUUGGGGGUUUGUGGAAAACCAUUUCUUUACUGUAGUUUAAGGUUCCCAAUUUCUUUGGACUCAGCUGAGACAAUUUCAGGCCAGUGGACAAAAUGCUGAGUGAAACCCUCUUUCUAGGAAGAUUUUCACAUAAGAGGUAAGGAGUCCAGGGAGGAGGGAAGAUACACAGUGUUGAGGGAGGGAUGGAGGGAGAGUUUAAUUUCCAAAUAGUAUGCUUGUGGAAAGGAGGAGGACUAAAUUUGGGGGUCAUAUUUUUGGACCAAUAUCUUGGGUAAGUUUUUAGAACAAUUGUUGGAGAAAUGAGUUGAAGUUACAGGUGGUGCAGGAGAGCAUCUCCGGCUGGUGAAGGAUUCCUGUGAUUGUUUCUGCAUCGCUGGCCUGGCAGCUGUCCCUGCAGCCCCAUAUUGCAGUGGGGGGAAGCAGGGACAGCUUGGUGAGAGGGAGCCGGGGAAACGGGGGGGCUAAGAGGGAGGAAUUGAGAUUUUUACCCCUAGUAGCACUGCCACUAGGUGCCCCCUGGUGAGAGCGUCACUGCAGGGGGGACAGUGGCAGUGGAGGGUGGGAAGAAAGGGAGGAGGCGAUUAUUCGGGGUGGGGGCUCCUGUUUCCCCCCUCUUUUCCUCUUUCUGUUCACCCUAGUUUUAUUGCCUUCCUCUGAUUGAUUCCAUCCCCUUCCCUCUCCCUCCCCACCACCUCCACAACAAUUCUCUUAGUCAAACAGCACCCCAGGGUCUAGACCACGAUCCCCAGACCUAGCCAUAUGGUCCAGGUUCCUCUGGAAUUCACCAUCCUGUUGACAGCCGUGACAGGCAUGUUUGUCGCAUUCCACGUGAUCUCCCCAGGCCAGUGGAGAGUAUGGUAAGAGAAAUCCUGUUUCAAGGAAAAAAUGGAUGGAAGAGGAAGGACUCGGGAAGAGGGAGGACACCUACUUUUGAAGGUAGGAGGGAGAGUUUAAUCUCUAGUAUGAAGUGAUUGACAGUGAGGGAGACCAGAUUUGGUUUAUUUGUGCACCAGGUUCUUGGAUUUUAUGUGGCAAAUAUCAUGAAUGAGUUGAAAUUCUUUUCAAGGCUAAAUAAAAGGUGGAAAUUACUCGGAGUUUGUUUCACCCAGUUCUAUCACUCAGGUGCCCAAAGAAAUACCCUGAGGAGAAUCAGGGUGGAAGGAGAGCUGAGGGAAAAUCCAGAAGACCUGUGGACAGUAAGCCUUAGAGAGAGGAGAUAAAGAGCUGACUGCCUUGUGAAAGAAAAAAAAUAAAGGAAAAACCUUGAGUUAUUAUUGCUUUUAUACCUUAAAAUUUUAGUCGGGGAAAGAAAAGAGACAAACCGGAACUGCCCACUUCACCUGCGUGCUUCGAGAGAAAUGGAGACGUCAGCCUGGGGUGGGCGAGGAGGGCCAGGUGGAGAGAAGCCAGCCUGCACCCAAGGUAAGAGAGGAGGGGAGAGGAAGUGGAGGAAUUGACAUGAGGGCUCUCCGGAUUCACUUCCUCUACGAAGAGGGACAAUUUGGGGAAUGCUUCCAUCUGAUUCAGUUCCAGUCAAGCUCAACACCUGCAUUCAUUCAAUCCAUUUUCUUUCAAAAGCCAAUAAAAUAGUUAAAAUAAAAAAAGUAAAAUACCCUAGGAACCCCAAAGCACAAUAAAAGAGUGUAAAAUGAAAAUAAAUCGUUAAAGGUUGACACAUAAAGAAAGGCAUUGUUGCCAUAUAAUCCUCCUUU